AGUGAACGCUGGCGGUAGGCCUAACACAUGCAAGUCGAACGGCAGCACAGUAAGAGCUUGCUCUUACGGGUGGCGAGUGGCGGACGGGUGAGGAAUACAUCGGAAUCUACUUUUUCGUGGGGGAUAACGUAGGGAAACUUACGCUAAUACCGCAUACGACCUACGGGUGGAAGCAGGGGAUCUUCGGACCUUGCGCGAUUGAAUGAGCCGAUGUCGGAUUAGCUAGUUGGCGGGGUAAAGGCCCACCAAGGCGACGAUCCGUAGCUGGUCUGAGAGGAUGAUCAGCCACACUGGAACUGAGACACGGUCCAGACUCCUACGGGGGGCAGCAGUGGGGAAUAUUGGACAAUGGGCGCAAGCCUGAUCCAGCCAUACCGCGUGGGUGAAGAAGGCCUUCGGGUUGUAAAGCCCUUUUGUUGGGAAAGAAAAGCAGCAGGUUAAUACCCCGCUGUUCUGACGGUACCCAAAGAAUAAGCACCGGCUAACU
rnacentral:rRNA from 1 species